CCAGGUGUGCUGGGCGGCCGCUGCGCCUCGCCCUCAGUGGCUCAUCUAAUGAGGACCCCGGGACACCUCCCCUCUGGCGCACACCCUGGCCCACUCGGUCUCCCGCACCCACGUCCACUCGGUUCUUUUCUAUCCCUCGGAGAAAACCGAACAAAAAACGGCCCAUUGCCUGAAUCCCACAGGUCCGAGUCUUAAAGGACGGACGCCCACUUCAUCGCAGAAUUCUCUCCUCACUCUCUGCUGCCCCGAGGGCGGUUCCCUCUGAAGCCGAAGCAGCAGGAACCACAUCUGUCUGCUUGUUCCAAGAUGUGUUUCUAGUGCCCACAGGAGGAGCUUGAUAAAAGUUUGCUGAAGGAAUGAAUGAACAAAGAUUUCCUGCCUCCUGAGCUCCAGUUCUCUGAGUAAAACCAGAGCUUUCUCCCUUCAUCUCUUAUCAGGGACCUGGAGAGAGGAUAGGAAGGUACAGGAGUGAAAUGAACCCAGCAACUCAGAGAACCCCAGGUGAAUGAGCAGCAGGAACUCCUAGGCAUUGGCCUUCUGACACAAACAUAGAAAACUGCCUUCCAGUCACUGGUGCAGGAUGAUGAGAAUCCCUCAAGAGGGCUUAUGGCUUGCCCCCACCAUCUGGGGUAUAUCUUUAGAGGAGAGAAAAAUGCAUAUGAGCUGGUGGGCCUAUGGGGAGGGCUGCUGGGUCUCUGUUUUCUGAUCCAUAAGUCAAGACCUGCCACAUGGCAAAGGAUGUCCGUGCACCACAAGGAAUGCCUGGGAGGCCUACUGAAGAGGCCGAAGAACUGGGGCUUUCUGGGACAUGGCAGAUAUUUCUGGGGACAGCAGACCCUCUAAUAAAAAAUCCAGGAAUAAAAAAGUAGAAGGUCUGAUGGAGCAAGUGGUCUCAGUCCUGUCAUUUGGAAAGGAGGAUGAAUGCCAGGAGAACCAGAAAAUGAGAAAAGAAAAGACCCCCAGGGCACAGAACUUGGUAGUCUGCAAAGUUCCUUGGUCAUAUUCACCCCCUCAUUUGAGUCUCAGCCAAAUGAGGA